UGAGAGAAGGAGCCCGGAGAUGGACANUGAGAAANGGGNCCAGGCCCUACGGGGCGCAGCAGGCGCGAAAACUUUGCAAUGUGCGAAAGCACGACAAGGUUAAUCCGAGUGCAACAUGCUGAAUGUAGCUUUUGGUAAAUGUAAAUAGUUUAUUGAAUAAGGGGAGGGAAAGUCUGGUGUCAGCCGCCGCGGUAAUACCAGCUCCCCGAGUGGUCGGGACGAUUAUUGGGCCUAAAGCAUCCGUAGCCUGUUCUGUAGGUCUUAUGUUAAAAUCAAUUGCUUAACAAUUGAACUGCAUGAGAUACCACAAAACUAGGAGGCGGGAGAGGUGGACGGUACUCCACGGGUAGGGGUAAAAUCCUCUGAACCGUGGAAGACCACCAGUGGCGAAGGCGGUCCACCAGAACGCGCUCGACGGUGAGGGAUGAAAGCUGGGGUAGCGAACCGGAUUAGAUACCCGGGUAGUCCCAGCUGUAAACGAUGCAAGCUAGGCGAUGCAUCAGCCACGUGUUGAUGCAGUGCCGCAGGGAAGCCGUUAAGCUUGCCGCCUGGGGAGUACGGUCGCAAGGCUGAAACUUAAAGGAAUUGGCGGGGGAGCACCACAAGGGGUGAAGCCUGCGGUUCAAUUGGAGUCAACGCCGGGAACCUUACCAGGAGAGACAGCAGAGUGAAGGUCAAGCUGAAGACUUUACCAGACAAGCUGAGAGGAGGCGCAUGGCCGUCGACAGCUCGUGCCGUGAGGCGUCCUGUUAAGUCAGGCAACGAGCGAGACCCUUGCCAUUAAUUGCUUCCAUCGAUCGAAAGGUUGGCGGAGCUAGUUAAUGGGACUGCCGUUGAUAAAACGGAGGAAGGAAGGGGCCACGGCAGGUCAGUAUGCCCCGAAACUCUUGGGCCACACGCGGGCUGCAAUGGUAGGCACAAUAGGUACCGAAUUCGAGAGAAUGAGGCAAUCCCAAAAUCCUACCCCAGUUGUGAUUGAGGGCUGCAACUCGCCCUCAUGAAUCUGGAAUCCCUAGUAACCGCGUGUCAACAUCGCGCGGUGAAUACGUCCCUGCUCCUUGCACACACCGCCCGUCGCUUCACCCGAGUUGGGUUUGGGGGAGAUAGUGUCUUAUUGACNUUAUCG
rnacentral:rRNA from 1 species